CUUUGGAUGAGUUGUGCUCAGCUGGAGUGAAUAAAUCCUCCAUCAUCCAGGUAGAGCCUUUCUGUGUUGACAUGUACGAUGUGUGUUUGACGUUUGUGUCAUUCCCUACAGCGUGACUGUGUAAAUCCUCUCCAUUGAGCUGUGGCAUUAGCCAGGGGAUUGUGGACGUGCAGUUAUUGGCGUGUUCAACCCGGUUCUCCAGCGAGGCUGAGCGUGGGAGUUGUCGGGGACGGUAGCUGCUGUCUCGGUGCUUGUUCGGCCCGUCCCGGUUGUGUCUCGUUGUUUGAUACCGGGCACGUCGUUGUCACAGAAGGCUGGUGUUGUGAGAUCACCUUGGUGGGCUCAGAUGGAGGAUUAGCAGAACAAAGGAGGAGCAAACACGAUCGGUUCAAUGCUGCAUGAGGAGACUACGUCAGUUCCUACACGUAAAAAAAAAAAAAAACUAAGAUUCUGCUGUGAUAUUUUCAAUGUAAACGACUGUAAGACAUUUAAAAAUAUUGUUAUAGUAUAUAUGUAACUGUUUUAACCCUGGAAGUGUUUAAGUGGUGGCCUUGAUAAAGAACGUCUGAGUUCUCUUUAAGCUAAGUGUGAGGGAAAUGACAAGCUUCUCCCUCACUGAAACAAGAUGGAAGCAAAAUGUGUUUGGUGGUUUUAUUUUGAAAAGUUAAGAUGCUGUAAUUUCUGUUAGCUUUACUUCCAGGUUGGCUUUCUUCAAAGAGUGCACACUUGAUGAAGGCUGGGAACACCUGACACCAAUGAUGUGAAUUGGAAGAUACCAUGUUAGGAAGGGG
rnacentral:lncRNA from 1 species